UACGAAGGGGGCUAGCGUUGCUCGGAAUGACUGGGCGUAAAGGGCGCGUAGGCGGAUGGCACAGUCAGAUGUGAAAUUCCCGGGCUUAACCGUGGGGGCUGCAUUUGAUACGUGUUGUCUUGAGUUCGGAAGAGGGUCGUGGAAUUCCCAGUGUAGAGGUGAAAUUCGUAGAUAUUGGGAAGAACACCGGUGGCGAAGGCGGCGACCUGGUCCGACACUGACGCUGAGGCGCGAAAGCGUGGGGAGCAAACAGG
rnacentral:rRNA from 1 species